ACGUAGGGUGCAAGCGUUGUUCGGAAUUAUUGGGCGUAAAGCGCUCGUAGGCGGGUUUGUAAGUCGAUUGUGAAAGCCCCGGGCUAAAUCCGGGAAUUGCAGUCGAAACUACAAGUCUUGAAUGCUCGAGAGGGUGACGGAAUUCCUGGUGUAGAAGUGAAAUUCGUAGAUAUCAGGAGGAACACCGGAGGCGAAGGCGGUUGCCUGGCGAUGCAUUGACGCUGAGGAGCGAAAGCGUGGGGAGCAAACAGGA
rnacentral:rRNA from 1 species